rnacentral:rRNA from 1 species
CCUACGGGUGGCAGCAGUGAGGAAUAUUGGUCAAUGGACGAGAGUCUGAACCAGCCAAGUAGCGUGAAGGAUGACUGCCCUAUGGGUUGUAAACUUCUUUUAUAUGGGAAUAAAAUGUUCCACGUGUGGGAUUUUGUAUGUACCAUAUGAAUAAGGAUCGGCUAACUCCGGGCCAGCAGCCGCGGUAAUACGGAGGAUCCGAGCGUUAUUCGGAUUUAUUGGGUUUAAAGGGAGCGUAGGUGGAUUGUUAAGUCAGUUGUGAAAGUUUGCGGCUCAACCGUAAAAUUGCAGUUGAAACUGGCAGUCUUGAGUACAGUAGAGGUGGGCGGAAUUCGUGGUGUAGCGGUGAAAUGCUUAGAUAUCACGAAGAACUCCGAUUGCGAAGGCAGUUCACUGGACUGCAACUGACACUGAGGCUCGAAAGUGUGGGUAUCAAACAGGAUUAGAUACCCGGGUAGUC